rnacentral:hammerhead_ribozyme from 1 species
AUUUAGCUGACGAGUCCCAAAUAGGACGAAACGUGCAUCAAACUGGAU